rnacentral:rRNA from 2 species
UAUUAUUAUAAAUGUAACAAUUAACCUGGGUAGUAUUAGUUAUGUUCUUGAAACUCAAAGGAUUUGGCGGUAUUUUAGUCCUUUCAGAGGAAUCUGUUCCGUCAUCGACAACCCACGAAUAGAAGUACUUGAUUUUGUUUUACAGUUUGUAUACCUCCGUCAUAAGAAUAUCUUUUUAGAGUAAAUUUUCUUUAUAUAAUAAAUAUAAUAUGUCAGGUCAAGGUGCAAUUUAUAAUCAAGUGGAAAUGGAUUACAAUAAAUUUAUUUAUACGGAUUAAAUUAUUUAAUUUUUUAUGAAGGUGGAUUUGAUAGUAAUGUUAUUAUUUUAUUAAUUUGAUUGAGGCUCUAAAAUAUGCACAC